rnacentral:rRNA from 1 species
ACUCCUACGGGAGGCAGCAGUGGGGAAUAUUGGACAAUGGGGGCAACCCUGAUCCAGCAAUGCCGCGUGUGUGAAGAAGGUCUUCGGAUUGUAAAGCACUUUCGACGGGGACGAUGAUGACGGUACCCGUAGAAGAAGCCCCGGCUAACUUCGUGCCAGCAGCCGCGGUAAUACGAAGGGGGCUAGCGUUGCUCGGAAUGACUGGGCGUAAAGGGCGUGUAGGCGGUUUACACAGUCAGAUGUGAAAUCCCCGGGCUUAACCUGGGAGCUGCAUUUGAUACGUGUAGACUAGAGUGUGAGAGAGGGUUGUGGAAUUCCCAGUGUAGAGGUGAAAUUCGUAGAUAUUGGGAAGAACACCGGUGGCGAAGGCGGCAACCUGGCUCAUGACUGACGCUGAGGCGCGAAAGCGUGGGGAGCAAACAGGAUUAGAUACCCUGGUAGUC